rnacentral:rRNA from 1 species
GUUAAGAAUCUUGCACAAUGGGCGAAAGCCUGAUGCAGCGACGCCGCGUGAAUGAUGAAGGCCUUCGGGUUGUAAAGUUCAGUAAGCAGGGAAGAAUAAGCAAGAGGUAAUAUUUCUUGUGAUGACGGUACCUGCCUAAAGCCCCGGCUAACUACGUGCCAGCAGCCGCGGUAAUACGUAUGGGGCGAGCGUUGUUCGGAAUUAUUGGGCGUAAAGGGCGUCUAGGCGGGAAAUUAAGUUAGGUGUGAAAGCUAUGGGCUCAACCCAUAAACUGCAUCUAAAACUGAUUUUCUUGAGUUCGGGAGAGGAGAGCGGAAUUCCAGGUGUAGCGGUGAAAUGCGUAGAUAUCUGGAAGAACACCAGUGGCGAAGGCGGCUCUCUGGCCUAGAACUGACGCUGAAGCGCGAAAGCGUGGGGAGCGAACAGGAUUAGAAACCCGUGUAGUCC